CGGUUGAUCCUGCCGGAGGCCACUGCUAUCGGGCUCCGACUAAGCCAUGCGAGUCUAGGGGCUCCUUCGGGAGCACCGGCGGACGGCUCAGUAACACGUGGACAACCUACCCUCGGGUGGGGGAUAACCUCGGGAAACUGAGGCUAAUACCCCAUAGGCCUCGGAUACUGGAAGGUUCCGAGGCUGAAAGCUCCGGCGCCCGAGGAUGGGUCUGCGGCCUAUCAGGUAGUUGGUGGUGUAAAGGACCACCAAGCCUACGACGGGUACGGGCCCUGAGAGGGGGAGCCCGGAGAUGGACUCUGAGACAUGAGUCCAGGCCCUACGGGGCGCAGCAGGCGCGAAACCUUCGCAAUGCGCGAAAGCGCGACGAGGGGAGCCCGAGUGCCCUUCCUUCGGGGAGGGCUUUUCCCGAGCCUAAAAAGCUCGGGGAAUAAGGGCUGGGCAAGACGGGUGCCAGCCGCCGCGGUAAUACCCGCAGCUCAAGUGGUGGCCACUAUUAUUGAGCCUAAAGCGUCCGUAGCCGGACCCGUAAAUCCCUGGGUAAAUCCCGGCGCUCAACGUCGGGAAUUCCGGGGAGACUGCGGGUCUUGGGACCGGGAGAGGCCGGAGGUACUCCCGGGGUAGCGGUGAAAUGCUGUAAUCCUGGGGGGGCCACCUGUGGCGAAAGCGUCCGGCUUGAACGGCUCCGACGGUGAGGGACGAAGGCCAGGGGAGCAAACCGGAUUAGAUACCCGGGUAGUCCUGGCUGUAAACGCUGCCCGCUUGGUGUUGCCGGUCUCUCGGGGGCCGGCAGUGCCGGAGCGAAGGUGUUAAGCGGGCCGCUUGGGAAGUACGGCCGCAAGGCUGAAACUUAAAGGAAUUGGCGGGGGAGCAC
rnacentral:rRNA from 1 species